CUUAGGUAUUCUAACUCUGCACAUUUAUUACUAGAAGGCUUCUGUGCAUUAUAUAUACAUAGUGUUAAUAUUAAGAUUUAGAAUUAUUAUGGCGAAUGCCGGAAACUCUUUCAUUCAUAUGUAAAUAUAUUUAUGUAUAUGUAUAUAUCUACAUCCAUAUGUAUAUACAGUACAAUGAAAUCUCCUCCACAAAAAUAUUAUGACACACACUCAAUAUACAACACCUGACAUCUGUGUCUCAACCCACACUACAUGUGUUCUCCUGUGAACCUCAGACUCCCACACCUGUAUUCAUGAUCCCGGAUCAUACAUCAUCAGUGGUCAUAAUUGAUCCAACACCACCUUUGCCUUCCUCUUUCUCUGUGUUAUUAUUACCUAACUAUCUGUGUCUCUUGUUCUAGUUACAUAACUAUUGGUCACAAAAUCCUGAGAUACUGUGGUAAUCCAACAGUUUGUGCCACCCUGAUUCUGUCUCUUCUCUUAAUUUCGGGGACGUCAGCACUGUGUCAUGGCCAUUUUAAAUUCAGCUCACAGUCACAGUUUUCCUAACAGGAACCUAUGCAUGCCUUUACCAAGACAGUAGUGUCUUAUCAAGGCCACCCAAAAGGACAAGAACUUUAACUCCACUUACAUUAAUUCUCUGGAUGCUCACACAUGGGAAUAGGGCAACCAAGGAACACCCAGCCAGGCAACAGUGUGUCACUCAGCAUCCAUGCGGGGAGGACAGAGCAGGGAAGAUAAUAAAAAGAUUGAUGUUUUCAAAUCAUUUCUAUAAUUUCCCUUUCACUACCCAUUAUUUAGGAUUCAAAUUGUUGAUGGUUUCUUAAAGAAGCAAGGAACGAGGUGACCCUAUCUGGGGCUUAGUCCAUUAAUUAUAUAUCAUAUGUGAACUUGAAUGACAUUUAUAAACAUCUUAUGCCACUUAUUUCUUAACUGACUACCAUAUUUUAUGCAUGUUGCAAUGCAUUUGUGGUCCAAUAUUUAAGUUCUAGGUGAUCAAUGUCUAAAUAAAUGUGUUUGCAUUUAUAUGUAUAUUUAUGUCGUGUUACAUUAAUGCACUAAGGACAUCCAUGAAAGUGCCUGAUUCUAAUGUCCAGCAUGUGCUCACAUGUCUAACUUUUGUCACCUGGCUAAGAGGGAGGUGUGAGGUGUGUGAUGCUGUGAACCUCAGACAGGAAGUGAUGUAGUCAUCGUCAAUGCAUGACUUAGAUCGCCGCCGAGCCUGGUCAUCAUUGGUCCAUACUACCUGUCUCUACUCUAGCAAUAUGUGCAUGUUUGCUGUUUAACAAACAACUAUAAUUUGUUUGUUUUUCAGGAUAAGUGAAUCCUUUACUCAGAGACAAUCUAUGCUCUAUAAUAAUAUAGAGCAUCAUCCCAUUGAGGAAAAGAAGACAACAAUUUUGAAUAUUACUCACACAGCUCUGGGUCUUCUGUAAACACCAAGAUUAAGUGUAGACUUUGAGCGUGGCCCAGUGUUUAAAGCAGACUGAAGCCAUUGCUUCUGAGGGAUGACCA
rnacentral:lncRNA from 1 species